rnacentral:rRNA from 1 species
CCUACGGGGGGCAGCAGUGGGGAAUAUUGCACAAUGGGCGCAAGCCUGAUGCAGCCAUGCCGCGUGUGUGAAGAAGGCCUUCGGGUUGUAAAGCACUUUCAGCGGGGAGGAAGGCGGUGAGGUUAAUACCCUCAUCGAUUGACGUUACCCGCAGAAGAAGCACCGGCUAACUCCGUGCCAGCAGCCGCGGUAAUACGGAGGGUGCAAGCGUUAAUCGGAAUUACUGGGCGUAAAGCGCACGCAGGCGGUCUGUCAAGUCGGAUGUGAAAUCCCCGGGCUCAACCUGGGAACUGCAUUCGAAACUGGCAGGCUAGAGUCUUGUAGAGGGGGGUAGAAUUCCAGGUGUAGCGGUGAAAUGCGUAGAGAUCUGGAGGAAUACCGGUGGCGAAGGCGGCCCCCUGGACAAAGACUGACGCUCAGGUGCGAAAGCGUGGGGAGCAAACAGGAUUAGAUACCCAGGUAGUC